rnacentral:lncRNA from 10 species
UUUCAUCUAUCUGAAGUCAGACACUUGUUGAUCUGCUACUCUCAGGUUGUUUCAGCAUGGACGCUAAUUUCAGGGUUCUGUGGGAUAAAGAAAACAAAAUCAUUUUGCUUCCCUUUUUUCAGGGCUCUCGCCUAUUCUUCAGAAGCCGUUAAGGUGCCUUCCCUGUGAUUUAGAGAAUUGACCACAAGAGAAGACUCCCUUUCAAACUCUUCAUUCUCUGGUUCAGAGGUUUGAUGUAAUGGUUGUCUCAUCGUACAUGGUCAGCCACAGGAUAUACUUCAUCCAUUUCAGAGCUGUACUCCUGAGUUCCAUGCUAUAAUCAGAAAUAUGUGGCACAUUUUGAACAAAGGAAAUAUAUACCCAACAAAGUGUUAAAAUGGAGCUGCCAACCAGACAAACCCUAGAAAUAUGUAGCCACUUACAGGCAGAACACAACUACAUGUGUUCCCAAUGUGGAAGGCAUUCCGGAAGUGUAUGCAUCCACAUUUCUACAUGAGGCAUCGCCUAUGCAGGCAAUCAAAGGAUGUUGAUGGAUAAGUGUUUCAGGCAGAAUAAUGGCCCUCAAAGAUGUUGACACCAGAAUCUUCAGAACCUUUGCAUAUGUUACCUAACAUGACAAAAGGGACUUUGCUGAUGUGAUUAAGGUUAAGAACUUUGAGAAGGGAAGAUUAUCCUGGAUUAUACAGGUCGACGUUUAUUUCUUUCUGAACUUUCCUGGAGGAUCAUCGGCCAUACUCCAGCAGAAGGGUGGAUUUGAAAAAAUAACGUUUCCACGGCAACAGUGGCAGCAAUUCAAAGGAAGACGUUGGAGAAUUCACAUGCUAUUUUAGCUGGCUCUGUGAUUGCAAUCACACAAAUCAUUACAUUCCAGCGAGAUCCCAUCAACAGAAGGUUUUUCCAUUUCAGUCUGUCAAGCAAAGCCCAGAGUCUUCCCUGGAGAAGAGUGCUGAUGACGAGGAUUCAUGUCUCACAACCCAGCACACAGGAAUGAUGUCACACAGAAUUUGACUUGGGGAAGAAGAAGAAAAGAAGGUGGAUUUCAGCAUGAAAGAAUCUAAACAGUCAUUAGUGAACAAAUGUGUAGCAGUGCUGUCCAACAGAACUUUCUGAAGAAGUAAUGGGAAUACUCUGUAUCUGUGAUGUCCUGUAUGGUAGCCACUGGCCUCACACAGCUCUUGAGCACUUGAAAUGUGGCUACUGUGACUGAGUAAUUGAGUUUUAAAAUUUCAUCAAUUUUAAUUAAUUGAAAUUUAAAUAGCCACAUGAGGCCAGUGACUACAGAAUUGAACAGCACAGGUCUCACAGAUGGACUAAGAGUAAGCCAGUUACGAAGAAGCUUAUACAGGAAGACCGGCUAAAAUAUGUCAAAGGAGAGUUUCUCUUUCUGAACUCCGAGGAGCUGUUCAAAUAAGACUGGUCUGGAGAGAGUUUUGGGUGGCUGGAGGUAUUUUCACCCCUCCACUUACUGUGCCUAACCUUAGUAUUGUUGCCAUUCUCACGUUUCUGUAUGACUCCAUCUCCCUUGUUCUGUUCCGAUGCCGCUUUUUCAGUUUUUCUGAGCUCUCAAUUAAACACAGUGAAAUGAAUCUCCUCCAAGUGCCUUUUUAGUGACUAAACUGAAUAGUUGGCUCAGAAUGCUACAAAGUCCUCUCCCUCAGGAAGAACCAAGUUUUACCAUUAAGAUCCUGAUAGAUUUACCAGCUUUAACUGACACCUCUUGGGGUGGCUUCCAGAUUCACACUUUCUCCUUUUUGAGAAGACUCCCAGACACACGGGGAUAGGUCCUGAGUGAUCAUAUUUGAGCCACACAAUCUUGUUACGCUUGCUGUAGAUCCAUGGUUCAAAAACAUUCAAGUGUGUCUGACUCAGCUGGAGGACUUGUGAAGACACAUGUGGUGGGACCCAUCCCUAAAGCUUCUUUUCCAGUAGGUGUGUAGGUGUGGCCCAAGUAUCUGCAUAUCUAACAAGUUCUCAGGUGAUACUGAUGUUGCUGGUCUGGGGAUUGUACUUUAAGAUAAUUAAGUCAGGGACUGUUGCCUGACAUAGGACAAUAAGCUUCUCUCAGGAAUUUGAAAUUUGGAACAAAGAGCUCGGAGUCUUAGUGCUAGUAGACCAGUGCUCUGGAGAGGUCUGAAAACUACCACUGCUUAGGUUCCUAGUUUGUCCAGUUCCUGUUUGUCUUGAGCCUUGGUUGUCUAAUCCUUUGAAUAAAUCCCAUUACAUUCUUUGUUUUGCAUAAACUGGCCAUAGAAAGUUCUUGUUGUCUGCCC